CACAAACCGCCCAAAACUGCCACACCCACACUUUGAAAAAAUGUUUUGAUUCUUUUUUACAUAUUUGUUAUCUAUCUGAUAUAUGAUAUGUUUAUUUAGACUUGUGAAUUUCUCUCGCUUUGCCAAAAAAAUUUUUUACCAUCCCUACAACAUACAACUGCAGUAAGUCCACUAUCUUUGCCAGGUUCCUCAAUCAUAUUUGCGCAAAAAUUGUCAUUAGCCAUCUGGUCUUCAUCAGUCUCUUCUUCGUCACCUCAUUACCCUGCGGAAAGUCAGAGCUUUCGGAUGAAGUAUCAUAACUACACCAUCGACGGAUAGCGCAGAUGCAGCCGCUGCUGCGGAAGUUAAAGAACCAUCUGACUUUGCAGAGGGGUCCAUUACAGCUUUAUUAGUAGCUUCGGCAGCUAAUGCUGCAGCUCGGCGCCCGCGAAAAUAUGGAGAGUGCCUUUUAAAAAUUUCUCUGUGGUUUGAAUUCUUAAGAUCCAAAUAUCCUUGCGGCAGCCCGUUGUAUUUCUCUAGAACUUCAUUUAGAGGCAAUUUGCUUUCCUCUUGCAAUUCAGCUAAAUCUUCUUCUUCGUAAUCUUCCGCUUCUGCAUCGACGAAGUUAUGUUCUCCAACCAAUAUUUGAAGAAUAUUGACUACCGAUGGAUCAAGCAGUGUUUUGUCAAAUCCCAAAAAUUUUGGUGUCAAAAUUUAAAAUAAAGUUAUGUGCAUCCUGAAAUAUGACAAAA